UGCCAGUUCAUUUUGAAUUGUCAGGUCGUCACCAGCGUGAUUGCUGGUUUUCCAUGCUCUCUAGUUUUUUUUUGUUGAUAGCUUUUCCGAUUCUAACUUUUCUGCCUAGCAUUCUGUACAUGCCUGAUUCUGAUCUGGUUUAUGAACUUCUGUCUGCCCUGACCCUGUCUGCCGUCCAGUACCUAUUGGACUCUGAUCUGGUUACGAACCUCUGCCUGCCCUUUGCCUGCUCCCCGUGUUAUAAUAAAUUAUCUGAGAACUGAACCAUCCACGUCCUGUGUCUGCAUCUGGGUCAUAUCCUGCGUCAUUAUAGGAACCUAGGAACAAACCUAGAGAGGAACCAGGCUCCGAGGGGUGGCCAGUCCUCUUCUGGCUGUGCGGGGUGGAGAUUAUAAGAGUACAUGGCCAUUUAAGGACAGAUUGUUCUUCAAGAUGUUCAAAUGGGAGACGAGUGGAAGACCGCGUUCAGGACCACCACAAGGCAUUAUGAGUACCUUGUCAUGCCGUACGGGUUGAUGAAUGCUCCAUCAGUUUCCCAAUCCUUUGUAGACGAGAUUUUCAGGGACCUGCACCGGCAGGGUGUAGUGGUGUAUAUCGAUGACAUUCUGAUUUACUCCGAUACACGCGCCGAGCAUGUGUCCUUGGACGACUGUUGGCGCAUGACCUGUAUGUUAAGGCUGAGAAAUGCCUGUUCUUUCAGCAGGCCGUCUCCUUCCUAAGGUAUCGCAUUUCCACAUCAGGGGUGGAGAUGGAGAGUGACCGCAUUUCAGCCGUGAGUAAUUGGACGACUCCCACCACGGUAAAGGAGGUGCUACAGACCAGGUUCCCGGAAUAAGACGCACUAUCCAGACUGUAUGACUCAGAGGAGCGGCCCAUGGAUCAGACUCCCAUACUCCCGGCCUCCUGCCUGGUGGCGACGGCCGUGUGGGAUCUGGACACGGACAUUGAGCAGGCGCUCCCCCCCAGUGUCCCGUUGGGCGUAAGUACGUUCCGUCUGCUGUCCGUAACCAGUUGAUCUCUUGGGCCCACACGUCUCCCUCCUCUGCUCAUCCGGGGAUCGGUCGGACGGUGCGCUGUCUGACUGGGAAGUACUGGUGGCCCACCUUGGCAAAGGACGUGAGGGUUUAUGUUUCCUGCUCGGUGUGUGCCCAGUGUAAGGCUCCGAGACACCUGCCCAGAGGGAUUUGGGCCUGUUCCCGGGAAAGCAGUAUGCCCUUCACGUCCAGCUCGUCAGACUUGUUAAAGGAAAAAAAAUAUUCUGCCAGUUCGUGGUCAGCUGUAAGAUUGCUACAAUGUUAUCCAACUACUGCAUCAUGGCCUACUCCAGCUGGCUGCUGGCCGAGGGAAACUACCCACACAGCCUGGUCAGUGUCUCCCUCUUCUCCCAGAAGAGGCACCUCUGGUGGUACAUCAUCCUGGGCUGGGGUUCUCCAAUGGUCAUCAUAGUAGCUUGGAGCUUGGCAAAAUAUAUCCAUGAGAAUGAAGAGUAGGUUAUGUCUGUAUUCAAGUAUUCAUGUCAGAAUGCUUAUAUGCUCCCCACCUAUAGUGUGUGUAUUUUCCCCCGGUUGUAAAGGUGCUGGGAGACGAGGGGAUCUGGUGAAUUCUCAGAGUUCCUGUUCUCCUCUUCAUUGUUGUGAGUUCUGACAUAACCUUUGACCCCAUAACCAAGUUUGUGAUUUUCUGUUAGUCAGCACCUCACUCAAAAUCAGUCUCUUAUUUAGGUUACCUUUCUGUUUUUUCCUGAGUAUCAUAAGAAUCCUGGUGGCCAUGUUACGGAUACAGGACAUGCAUGUGAAUUAGUUCAACCAGUACAGGUAGUGAGUGUUUUUAUUCUGUUUGACAAAAACAAUUAACAGCUACAGAAAAAAAACCACUUUUGCCAUGUUGAUGAUAUCUUAUGUAGUUGUAUAUUUGUAUUUUCAGGCUUGCUAUGUCCACCCUCCUUUUGGUAUCUCUCUCUGGUUUGCACUACGUCCUCUUUGCAUUUCUCCCACAUAAAGUAAAUGAAAUAUGGAAUUGAGCUGGCUUUCGACCUCCACUCAGGUACUGUAGUGCCUUUAUCCCACCUCUGUGGUUGUACUAUACGUAGAGUACAUUUUAUGUACAAACUUCCAGUGGAUCUAUUUUUGGGGAUACAUUGAGUAUACCUCAAUAUUUGGCUGUGCUUUGUUCUAUUCUAAGGGUUUGUAGUAGCAGUUCUAUACUGUUUUCUGAAUGGAGAGGUAAGUUGACACCCACACAGUUAAUGUUCUAGGUUAUAGUGAAUAGAGAGGGGAUUGACUGAACCCGGGUGUUGAACUUUGACACUCCCCAGGUUCAGUAUGAGGUCCAGAGGAGGUGGAAGCGAUGGAGACUGGAGCAGUAUAUACACUAUAUAUACAAAAGUAUGUGGACACCCAUUCAAAUAAGUGGAUUGAGCUAUUUAAACCACACCUGUUGCUGACAGCUGCAUAAAAUCGAGCAGACAGCCAUGCAAUCACCAUAGACAAACAUUGGCAGUAGAAUGGCCUUACUGAAGAGCUCAGUAACUUUCAAUGUGGCACCAUCAUAGGAUUCCACCUUUCCAACAAGUCAGUUUGUAAAAUGUAUGCCCUGCUAGAACUUCACCGGUCAGCUGUAAGUGAUGCUAUUGUGAAGUGUAAACGUCUAGCAGCAACAACGACUCAGCCGCGAACUGGUAGGCCACACAAGCUCACAGAACGAGACCGCCAAGUGCAACACUCACUACCGAGUUCCAAACCGUCAGCACAAUAGCUGUUAACCUGGAGCUUCAUGAAAUGGGUUUCCAUGAACAAGCAGCCGCACGCAAGCCUAAGAUCACC